AUGUGUAUACACACGGACAUUAGAGUUAGAGGUCAUGGGAACAUAAACAGUCUUUGCAAGAAUGGGGGCAAGAAUUUUUAUAAACAUCAAUGCACAUGCACAACUUCAUACCAUGACUAUUAUCAGGGUCCAGACAACCACAAUUUUUGCAAGAAGGAUUGCAGGAAACACUCAUAUCAAAACACUUGCAAGGUAACGCAUUUCUUGAUGGAGAGUAAUAACUUGCGGCAUGAUUAUUGAACAUUUGUGUUGUGGCAAUCAAGUUUGGAUCAAGAUGCUGCCGGUGGCGACCAGCUUCAAUAGUUGCUGAA
rnacentral:lncRNA from 1 species